rnacentral:tRNA from 1 species
AGGGGUGUAGCUCAACUGGUAGAGUAGCGGUCUCCAAAACCGUUGGUUGGGGGUUCGAGUCCCUCCGCCCCUGCCA